UGUACACGCUGUGACUAGCAUAUCAAUAAGCGGAGGAAAAGAAACUAACAAGGAUUCCCCUAGUAACGGCGAGUGAAGCGGGAAGAGCUCAAAUUUGAAAUCUUAAAGGGUUUCCCUUUACGAAUUGUAGUUUAAAGAAGUGUUUUCUGUUGAGGUUUUGGUAAAAGUUCUUUGGAAUAGGACAUCAUAGAGGGUGAGAAUCCCGUAUUUGACCUUUACUUUCAACUUUGUGAUACACUUUCAAAGAGUCGGAUUGUUUGGGAAUGCAGUCCAAGAUGGGUGGUAAAUUUCAUCUAAAGCUAAAUAUUGGCGAGAGACCGAUAGCGAACAAGUACCGUGAGGGAAAGAUGAAAAGAACUUUGAAAAGAGAGUUAAACAGUACGUGAAAUUGUCAAAAGGGAAGCGUUUGACACCAGUGUUGUUUUUCUGAAAAUCAAUUAAAGAACUGUUUAUGCUAAGUUGUUUAGACUUUAUCAGCUAACUGUUUAGUUUUGAGCUUUUCUUUAAUUGCACUUUUCAGUUAACAAGUCAACUAUCAAUUUCUUUUGCUGUAAAAAAGCUUGAGGAAGGUGGCUUGAGAUUCGUCUUAAGUGUUUAUAGCCUCUUGCCUAUGCAGUCGGAGAGAUUGAGGUCUGCAGCGUAGAUCCUUCGGGGCUAAAUGCAUUUGUGCUAAGUUAUAGCAUUUCAUAGACAACUUGUUGACUAUGAUUUGUCUUGUAGCUUACUCGCUUAUGUUAUUUUACCUACGCUUAGGAUGUUGACGCGCGUGUGUGCGUG
rnacentral:rRNA from 1 species